GGGCUAGCUGGUCUGAGAGGAUGGUCAGCCACACUGGGACUGAGACACUGCCCAGACUCCUACGGGAGGCUGCAGUCGAGGAUCAUAGUCAAUGCGCGAAAGCGUGAACUUGCGACGCUGCGUGGAGGAUGACGGCCUUCGGGUUGUAAACUCCUGUCAUUUGGGAACAAUUAUCUCACGGUGAAUAGCCGUGAGACUUGAUGGUACCAAAAGAGGAAGCCACGGCUAACUCUGUGCCAGCAGCCGCGGUAAUACAGAGGUGGCGAGCGUUGUUCGGAUUUACUGGGCGUAAAGCGUGCGUAGGUGGUCUCGUGUGUCGGAUGUGAAAGCCCAUGGCUCAACUGUGGAAUUGCAUUCGAAACUGCGGAACUAGAGUGCAGGAGGGGAGAGCGGAAUUCUUGGUGUAGCGGUGAAAUGCGUUGAUAUCAAGAAGAACACCGGUGGCGAAGGCGGCUCUCUGGAAUGUUACUGACACUGAGGCACGAAAGCUGGGGGAGCGAACAGGGUUAGAUACCCUGGUAGUCCCAGCCGUAAACGGUGCGCACUUGGUGUAGGGGGUAUUGACCCCCCCUGUGCCGGAGCUAACGCGUUAAGUGCGCCGCCCGGGGAGUACGGCCGCAAGUCUAAAACUCAAAGAAAUUGACGGGGGCCCGCACAAGCGGAGGAGCAUGUGGCUUAAUUCGAUGCAACGCGAAGAACCUUACCAGGGCUUGACAUGCAGCUGCACGGCCGGUGAAAGUCGGUCUCCUUCGAGGGUGCUGCACAGGUGCUGCAUGGCUGUCGUCAGUUCGUGCCGUGAGGUGUUGGGUUAAGUCCCGCAACGAACGCAACCCUUGUGUUUAGUUGCCACCGGCGGUGAUGAGCCGCCGAGCACUCUAGACAGACUGCCCGUACAAGCGGGAGGAAGGUGGGGACGACGUCAAGUCAGUAUGGCCCUUACGCCCUGGGCUGCACACGUGCUACAAUGGCAGGUACAGAGGGACGCAAUGCCGCGAGGUGGAGCAAAUCCCCAAAACCGGCCCCAGUUCGGAUUGGAGUCUGCAACUCGACUCCAUGAAGUUGGAUUCGCUAGUAACGGCGUAUCAGCUACGGCGCCGUGAAUACGUUCCCGGGCCUUGUACACACCGCCCGUCACAUCAUGAAAGCCGUCUGCACCCGAAGUCGCUGAGCCAACUUUUCACGAAGAGGCAGGUGCCGAAGGUGUGGGUGGUGAUUG
rnacentral:rRNA from 1 species